rnacentral:tRNA from 1 species
UGUCCAGGGAUGGGAAUCGAACCCACAAUGUUCCGCUUACCGGGCAGAUGCCAUGUCCACUAGGCUACCCAGGGC